UACGGAGGGUGCAAGCGUUAAUCGGAAUCACUGGGCGUAAAGCGCGCGUAGGCCGCCUUCUAAGUCGGACGUGAAAGCCCUCGGCUCAACCGAGGAACUGCGUUCGAAACUGGGAGGCUUGAGUCCUGGAGAGGGUGGCGGAAUUCCGGGUGUAGGAGUGAAAUCCGUAGAUAUCCGGAGGAACACCGGUGGCGAAGGCGGCCACCUGGACAGGUACUGACGCUGAGGCGCGAAAGCGUGGGGAGCAAACAGGAUUAGAUACCCUGGUAGUCCACGCUGUAAACGAUGGAUGCUAGGUGUCGGGGAGCGAUCUUCGGUGCCGCAGUUAACGCAUUAAGCAUCCCGCCUGGGGAGUACGGUCGCAAGGCUGAA
rnacentral:rRNA from 1 species